rnacentral:rRNA from 1 species
UGCGGAGGGAGCUAGCGUUGUUCGGAAUUACUGGGCGUAAAGCGCACGUAGGCGGCUUUGUAAGUUAGAGGUGAAAGCCCGGGGCUCAACUCCGGAACUGCCUUUAAGACUGCAUCGCUUGAAUCCGGGAGAGGUGAGUGGAAUUCCGAGUGUAGAGGUGAAAUUCGUAGAUAUUCGGAAGAACACCAGUGGCGAAGGCGGCUCACUGGACCGGUAUUGACGCUGAGGUGCGAAAGCGUGGGGAGCAAACAGG